rnacentral:rRNA from 1 species
AUUGAACGCUGGCGGCAUGCCUUACACAUGCAAGUCGAACGGCAGCACGGGAGCAAUCCUGGUGGCGAGUGGCGAACGGGUGAGUAAUAUAUCGGAACGUGCCCAGUCGUGGGGGAUAACGCAGCGAAAGCUGUGCUAAUACCGCAUACGAUCUAAGGAUGAAAGCGGGGGAUCGCAAGACCUCGCGCGAUUGGAGCGGCCGAUAUCAGAUUAGCUAGUCGGUGGGGUAAAGGCCCACCAAGGCGACGAUCUGUAGCUGGUCUGAGAGGACGACCAGCCACACUGGAACUGAGACACGGUCCAGACUCCUACGGGAGGCAGCAGUGGGGAAAUUUGGACAAUGGGCGCAAGCCUAAUCCAGCAAUGCCGCGUGCAGGAUGAAGGCCUUCGGGUUGUAAACUGCUUUUGUACGGAACGAAACGGCCCUUUCUAAUACAGGGGGCUAAUGACGGUACCGUAAGAAUAAGCACCGGCUAACUACGUGCCAGCAGCCGCGGUAACAC